GCGCUUGUGGCGGAAUUGGUAGACGCGCUAGUUUCAGGUACUAGUGACCGCAGGUCGUGGGGGUUCGAGUCCCUCCAAGCGCACCA
rnacentral:tRNA from 1 species